GGCUCAGGAUGAACGCUAGCUACAGGCUUAACACAUGCAAGUCGAGGGGCAGCAUGAACUUAGCUUGCUAAGUUUGAUGGCGACCGGCGCACGGGUGAGUAACACGUAUCCAACCUUCCGUUUACUCAGGGAUAGCCUUUCGAAAGAAAGAUUAAUACCUGAUAGUAUGGUGAGAUUGCAUGAUAACACCAUUAAAGAUUUAUUGGUAAACGAUGGGGAUGCGUUCCAUUAGGUAGUAGGCGGGGUAACGGCCCACCUAGCCUACGAUGGAUAGGGGUUCUGAGAGGAAGGCCCCCCACACUGGGACUGAGACACGGCCCAGACUCCUACGGGAGGCAGCAGUGAGGAAUAUUGGUCAAUGGGCGGAAGCCUGAACCAGCCAUGCCGCGUGAAGGACUAAGGCCCUACGGGUCGUAAACUUCUUUAGACGCAGAGCAAUAAGGUCCACGCGUGGACCGAUGAGAGUAUGCGUAGAAUAAGCAUCGGCUAACUCCGUG
rnacentral:rRNA from 1 species